UCGAGGGAGACAGUAAAAUAUGUUUGAAAGCAAAGAGAAUACUAGGGAUAGAAAGGGUUAAACAGAAUUAAUGGUAAGUUCUUUUAAUAUAUAAGAUGUAUUAUUUGGCUUUAGUGCUGACCCAUUUAAAAACCAAAGUAAACAGAAAGCACAGUGGUCUUUACGUGUGACUACCUCUUGCAUGAUCACCUGGAAAGAGCUCUGUAGGAAGGCAUGUAGUUAAUAUGACAGGCUAGGCAAAGAUCGAGUGAUGUUUGCAGGUUGGAGACUGCAGCAAUGAGGCGGGUGCAGCUGUUAGCUUCAUCCUGCUAGAGAGAAAGGUGGGGCAGCAAGGGGUUAAUUAAACUGCCCAAGCUCUACAGCUCUCCUGGGUAAAAUUUAUUAUCUACCCCAGGCGCCCUAGUACUGUAUCAUUACUUACUCCAGACUUGCCUGCCCUUAGCUCCGUAGUUACUGCCACAUGUGCUAGUGAGCCUUUGGAAUGUGGCUCGUACAGGCAAGACAUGCUCAAAGUGCUGCACUGGGUUAUAAGACUUAGUAUGGGAAGUCUUACCAUUUCAUUUAUAUAUUAGAAUGAUAGCAUCUGGUUAUAUUAUAUUUAAAUAUAAUAUUAAAUUUAGUCCUUUUAAGUGCAAUUACUAGUUAAUUUAAAAUUACAUUUGUGGCUGCUGUUGACCCUGCCUGACAGUGAGUGGGCAGCGAUUGAUGGCAGGGAGGAGAAGAUGGUAUCAGGCCGUUUGAUCUAUGUUGACAUUAGUGUUCCUAAGACCUGUGAUCCCUGGGCCAUCAGGCAGAUAUGUGGAACUGAGUGUGUGUGGGAGGGCCUGAGUGUGUAUAGGAGAGUCAAGGCCUGGAGCCCUGGACCCAUGCAGACUGCUCAAACUCCUGGAGAAAGGGGUGGUCUCCAAGCCACCAGUCAUUCUUACUUUUUAGUUUCUUUCUUAUUCUUUUGUUGUUUCUCCCUCCCUCUCCCCAGAGGGAAACUGGCAGGAAGUCUGUAAUUCUGGGGUUUUGAAGGCAAACAAAGUAAUGUGAUUGCUAUUUUAUUUUUUUUCUGAUGAGUUUUGUUAUGUUGUGCUUUAAUAAAAGGAGAGACACAUGCAUUGGUGAUAGUGUCGCUUACUUUUGGAUAUUGAGUGGCUACUGAUUAUUUAAGGGAUAAAAAUCCAGUUACAAUCACCCUAUAAUGUGUCCUGUGGCCAUUGGUGUUAACGAGUUCCACACAGCUCAUGAUGCAAACUGGGAGCCACCAGUGGCUGUGUGGUGUGGUGGUUUUUGGAUCACUAUGCUGCUCCCGGAUCACCUCAGAAGUUGCCACUCAAGGCCUCAUUCUACCACGCACCUGCAUUUGAAUUCAGACCAGGGCUUAGGACUUUUGAAUUAUUUUAAGACUACAGAAGUUACAGAUCUAGUUACUUGUCUAAGAGACAGUUGCCGUAGAAUAAAUAUUUCUAACUUUUCUUUGUAGUAAUAGAUAACACAUUAAACAGAUUAAUCUUUUUUUCCUCGUGAUUACAUGAACUUUCUAGACCUCAGGUUUUACAGAAAUGUUCCCUAUUAACAUAAAAUUAAAUAGUUCAUAAUUUAAUAUUAAGCACGUUCUAUGCUUACCUAUAACCUUGAUCAAUGAUUAAUCAGUAAGGAAACAGCACUAUAACAUGGAUGGUAUUCUUUUUAAAGCAUGGGUCUUGGGGGUAGCUCUGGCCCCCACACUUGCUCAGUGAACAUGUUAACUCACCUAGCUGUCUGUUGAUAGUCUGAUGAUGCUGAGAAUAUAUUCCCAUGACAGUAGGAGCUCGCUAGGUUAUUUUUCUUUUCCUUCCGUUGAAAGUGACUUUCUAGUCAGGCAUUGAAGAGUGGGUAAGCCUUCAUUGACACAGAUUUCUUAAUAUAUUUCUCAGGGCCGUUCUCUUUGGCAUGCUUUAAAUUGUAACAUGAAGAGAUAUUGGAUCUCUGUAGGGGCAGGAAAUCUAAACAACUGCUGUCUUCCGCUUGACUGUAUGAGUCAUUUGUGAAUUGAGUCAGGUUCUUUUUAUAACGAUAUAAAGGAAAUAUAAAAAUCCCUUUUAUAGUGUUGUACAUUCAGCAGAGAUUAUGUUCUCUAACUGAGCUCUUUGGAGGCUGGCUUUCUUUUGUAUCUGGAAGCUAGCACGGAGAAGAUGCUACUUUUUGAAUGAAUGAAUGAAUUAGUGAGUGAGUGAGUGGCUUCUUGGAGAGCUUUUAUUCUGCAAGGUUGUUUUGAUGUUCUGGUAAUUUGAUAUAUGAAUAAUUUUAUAGCAAUUUUAAAUGUGAACCAUGAACUUUAAUUUCUCAUUUAAAGACAGUACAUUUUCUGAAACUGUUUUGUUGUUGUCUUGUGAUUUUUGGUUUUUCAAGACAGAUUUCUCUGUGUGGCCUUGGCUGUCCUAGAACUAACUCUGUAGAUCAGGCUGGCCACAAACUCAGCAAUCUGCCUGCCUCUGUCUCCCACCAGCUGGGGUUAAAGGCGUGUGCCACCAUUGCCUGGCUUCUAAAAGGAUUAGGUUGACUAAGUUGUCAGAAUCAACCCACAGUGAGAUCGUUUGUUUUGGUGAUGUAGUCAGGUGAAUGAAGACAGUGUUUAAUGGAUGAUAUGGCCAAAGAACCAAAUUUAGUUAUCCAAAACAGUUUGAAGACAUUGUUCAUCGUAUAGGAUUGGCUGGCCUUCAACUCUGUAGAUCAGGUUGGCCUCAAACUCACAGAAGAGUACUGGUAUUUAAAGGUUUGUAUCACCACUCCUGGGAAAUUGUUCAAGUUUUUAAAACCUCUCUUAAGGGCUGAGUAUCAAGGAGAUAUUUCUAUUUAAAAAAUAAUUUAAAACAAAC
rnacentral:lncRNA from 1 species